GACGAACGCUGGCGGCGUGCUUAACACAUGCAAGUCGAACGGAAAGGCCCUGCUUGCAGGGUACUCGAGUGGCGAACGGGUGAGCAACACGUGGGUGAUCUGCCCUGCACUUCGGGAUAAGCCUGGGAAACUGGGUCUAAUACCGGAUAGGAGCCAUUUUUAGUGUGAUGGUUGGAAAGUUUUUUCGGUGUAGGAUGAGCUCGCGGCCUAUCAGCUUGUUGGUGGGGUAAUGGCCUACCAAGGCGGCGACGGGUAGCCGGCCUGAGAGGGUGGACGGCCAAGUUGGGACUGUGAGACGGCCCAGACUCCUACGGGAGGCAGCAGUGGGGAAUAUUGCACAAUGGGCGCAAGCCUGAUGCAGCGACGCCGCGUGGGGGAGGACGGCCUUCGGGUUGUAAACUCCUUUCGCUAGGGACGAAGCUUUUUGUGACGGUACCUAGAGAAGAAGCACCGGCUAACUACGUG
rnacentral:rRNA from 1 species